AACUUUCCACGUGAACUGUCAAACCUGUUCUGUGCUUCUGCUGUGUCUGCGUUUUCGGACGCGGACGUGGCGGAGGCUGAACGAAGGCUGGUUUCAUUUGUAUGAGAUCAGCUGAUAUAUUUUUUCAAACCCCUUUUUUACAAAAUGACUGAUCAAUACUGUGAGAACGAAAGUUCUUGCUUUAAACUAGAUAACAACUUUCAGCAGUGGAUGUCUAGGCUCGCACAUCGAUGAAGAACGCUGCGAACUGCGAUACGUAAUGCGAAUUGCAGAAUUCAGUGAGUCAUCGAAAUUUUGAACGCAUAUUGCACUUUCGGGUUAGACCUGGAAGUAUGUCUGUAUCAGUGUCCGUACAUCAAACUUGCCUCUCUUUUUUCUGUGUAGUCAGGAUUGGAGACGUGCAGAUGUGAAGUGUCUCGCGCACUUGCGUCUUCGGACGACAAGCUGUCGAGUCCUUUUAAAACGACACGAUCUUUCUAUUGUUUCUGUGAAGCGUAUUGCUCGAACGCGGUGAUUUUCGGAUCGCUCGCAGUCGUCGGCGACUUCGGUGAGAACAUAAAGGAGGAAACCUCAAUUCGCGGUAUGUUCGGCUUCGGCUCGACAAUGUUGCUUAUUGUGUGUGGAAUCUGUUUUCGCCUUGAGGUGUACUGAUGGUUGUGUGCUUGAACUGGGAGUUGGUGUGUAGUAGAGCGGUGCAGCAUGCAUGGUUACGCCUUUU
rnacentral:rRNA from 1 species